UUGUCACUGAUGGUCUCCUGCUGUGAUAUCAUCCCUUAAUUCCAAACCAACCAGACAUAAAAGAUGACUCAUUACACAUCUUGAUGUGGACGAUACUGUUACAGCUGUGAUUGGUCUGGCACUAAUGUCCAAUGGGUCAGAUGCCAAGGUUCAUAUUUUCUCCUUCAGUAGGAGAGGUGAUGUUGAAAUCAAGAAUGUAUCCUGUUCCAAAGUAACUGAUGCAAGAUUUGUAAAGUUAAGCCCCAGCCAUGACAAACUGUACUGUGUAUUUCCUAGAAGGUUGUGCAGACGGAUUUCCAGUUCCUGGUCUGAUACUAGCUGUCACAUACCAUGGAUACUGAGUUGUUCCUAAAUCAUUUAUUCUGUUGUUC
rnacentral:lncRNA from 1 species